rnacentral:misc_RNA from 1 species
GUUGAAGAAUACAAGGAAACUGGUACUUCGAAACAUUGCAGACUGCGGCACAGAUUUUCCUUUGUAAGGAUAGAAUAGAGACAGAAACCCAGCCACCGCAGAUGCAACGAGGAAUGCGAAAGAGAGAUAUCCCAAUACAACCGAAGGAUCAGAUGGAUACUUGCAAAUAACAACACCUUUACCAGUGAUGGGUGUUCCAGCUGCAGGCUUCUUAUUUUCAGCGAUUAUCCCAAAAAUGAAGGAUAGUGCCCCCAGAGUCGCAACAAUCAGAGACAUUUGACGAACAGUAACAGCCAUCACUCGAAGCUGUAGAGACGACGAAGUUAGUACAGGGAGAGCCGGAGAGGACUACAAGGAAGAAUCGAUUUUUAAACAAAUAAAUCUCAGAAUCUCCAAGGAUAUAAAAGACAGAGAAGAAGUCUUUAGUGGUGUAGAUUCUAAAUUCCAGCCUGGAAUAUUUGCUUGUUCGCCGGACAACGGGGUUGGUACCUUAACUAUUUUGGUAUUUUAACAGCUGUGAAAUUCUUU